rnacentral:rRNA from 1 species
UACGGGGGGAGCAAGCGUUGUUCGGAUUUACUGGGCGUAAAGGGCGCGUAGGCGGCCACCGCAAGUCAAUUGUGAAAUCUCCGGGCUUAACUCGGAAGGGUCAACUGAUACUGCGGGGCUAGAGUGCAGAAGGGGCAACUGGAAUUCUCGGUGUAGCGGUGAAAUGCGUAGAUAUCGAGAGGAACACCUGCGGCGAAGGCGGCUUUCUGGUCUGUAACUGACGCUGAGGCGCGAAAGCGUGGGGAGCAAACAGG